AAAAAUAAUGAACUAAAUUAAACAUCCCUAAUAAAUACAGAAGUGAAAUCGAACAUCUCUAACAAAUACAGAAGUGAAAUUGAACAUUUAGCCAAUUAGGUUUCGAGUAUUCCCAUUCCCUAGUCCCAAUGUCGUUUCCAAUACACGGAAUAAUUUGAUCUAUAAACAGCAAUGCCAUAAUGCCAAAGAAACCAUUGCUGGUUAGGACCCUUCACAGUAUCAAACAGAAGUAGAAUCAUGCUCUUCCUGCCGAACCAAACAAAUGCAUCUUUUCUGCAACCACAGCUUUCAUUGCUUCUUUUGCAGAAGCUAUAACAUGGACCAAAUCUUUCUUGGGGCUGCUCAGUGAGUCCAUGUACGCCUUGCGUACCUCAGUAUUCACAUUGAACUUCCUCACACCCCGCUCUAUACAGGCCUUUACAAGUUCGGGCAAGCCAGAAGCUCCGUGAAGAACCAGAACAACUCCUUUCUUGGAACUCAAGUCAUGCAAAUCCUUAAGCAAAUCAAGCCUGAGCUUUGGGCCACUGGCAGGAUACUUGCCAUGUACAUUUCCAAUGCACACUGCCAAAGCGUCUAUGCCAGUCUCAUCGAUGAAUUCUUCAG
rnacentral:misc_RNA from 1 species